GACGAACGCUGGCGGCGUGCUUAACACAUGCAAGUCGAACGGAAAGGCCCUGCUUUUGUGGGGUGCUCGAGUGGCGAACGGGUGAGUAACACGUGAGUAACCUGCCCUUGACUUUGGGAUAACUUCAGGAAACUGGGGCUAAUACCGGAUAGGAGCUCCUGCUGCAUGGUGGGGGUUGGAAAGUUUCGGCGGUUGGGGAUGGACUCGCGGCUUAUCAGCUUGUUGGUGGGGUAGUGGCUUACCAAGGCUUUGACGGGUAGCCGGCCUGAGAGGGUGACCGGCCACAUUGGGACUGAGAUACGGCCCAGACUCCUGCGGGAGGCAGCAGUGGGGAAUAUUGCACAAUGGGCGGAAGCCUGAUGCAGCAACGCCGCGUGCGGGAUGACGGCCUUCGGGUUGUAAACCGCUUUCGCCUGUGACGAUGCGUGAGUGACGGUAAUGGGUAAAGAAGCACCGGCUAACUACGUG
rnacentral:rRNA from 1 species